rnacentral:rRNA from 1 species
GAUAAACGCUGACGGCGUGCCUAAUACAUGCAAGUCGAGCGAACGGACGAGAAGCUUGCUUCUCUGAUGUUAGCGGCGGACGGGUGAGUAACACGUGGAUAACCUACCUAUAAGACUGGGAUAACUUCGGGAAACCGGAGCUAAUACCGGAUAAUAUUUUGAACCGCAUGGUUCAAAAGUGAAAGACGGUCUUGCUGUCACUUAUAGAUGGAUCCGCGCUGCAUUAGCUAGUUGGUAAGGUAACGGCUUACCAAGGCAACGAUGCAUAGCCGACCUGAGAGGGUGAUCGGCCACACUGGAACUGAGACACGGUCCAGACUCCUACGGGAGGCAGCAGUAGGGAAUCUUCCGCAAUGGGCGAAAGCCUGACGGAGCAACGCCGCGUGAGUGAUGAAGGUCUUCGGAUCGUAAAACUCUGUUAUUAGGGAAGAACAUAUGUGUAAGUAACUGUGCACAUCUUGACGGUACCUAAUCAGAAAGCCACGGCUAACUACGUGCCAGCAGCCGCGGUAAUACGUAGGUGGCAAGCGUUAUCCGGAAUUAUUGGGCGUAAAGCGCGCGUAGGCGGUUUUUUAAGUCUGAUGUGAAAGCCCACGGCUCAACCGUGGAGGGUCAUUGGAAACUGGAAAACUUGAGUGCAGAAGAGGAAAGUGGAAUUCCAUGUGUAGCGGUGAAAUGCGCAGAGAUAUGGAGGAACACCAGUGGCGAAGGCGACUUUCUGGUCUGUAACUGACGCUGAUGUGCGAAAGCGUGGGGAUCAAACAGGAUUAGAUACCCUGGUAGUCCACGCCGUAAACGAUGAGUGCUAAGUGUUAGGGGGUUUCCGCCCCUUAGUGCUGCAGCUAACGCAUUAAGCACUCCGCCUGGGGAGUACGACCGCAAGGUUGAAACUCAAAGGAAUUGACGGGGACCCGCACAAGCGGUGGAGCAUGUGGUUUAAUUCGAAGCAACGCGAAGAACCUUACCAAAUCUUGACAUCCUUUGACAACUCUAGAGAUAGAGCCUUCCCCUUCGGGGGACAAAGUGACAGGUGGUGCAUGGUUGUCGUCAGCUCGUGUCGUGAGAUGUUGGGUUAAGUCCCGCAACGAGCGCAACCCUUAAGCUUAGUUGCCAUCAUUAAGUUGGGCACUCUAAGUUGACUGCCGGUGACAAACCAGAGGAAGGUGGGGAUGACGUCAAAUCAUCAUGCCCCUUAUGAUUUGGGCUACACACGUGCUACAAUGGACAAUACAAAGGGCAGCGAAACCGCGAGGUCAAGCAAAUCCCAUAAAGUUGUUCUCAGUUCGGAUUGUAGUCUGCAACUCGACUACAUGAAGCUGGAAUCGCUAGUAAUCGUAGAUCAGCAUGCUACGGUGAAUACGUUCCCGGGUCU